rnacentral:lncRNA from 1 species
AUGGCCCAGGAAUUUGGGCUACCAAAGGGACAAGAAUGAAGACUAUUAGGGUUCCCUAUAUCCAGGUAGCCAGUGCUGAGCUGGGGGUAGGGGCAGAGUUACGAACCAGGAAUGAGUAAGAGCCAUGGGAGGCUGGGCUGAGGUGGGAGGCUGGCAGCCACCCCUCAUCUCUGCUCCACUGGGGCCCUAGCCAGUCUGAGUGCCCACCUACCAACUCCCUGUGCGCCCACUGGGCUGGAUCAUACAGGAGCAGUUCUCCAUCAGGGGUGGGGUUGGGGGGGCUACUGCCAGCUGGCCGAUGAGACACCCCCAGAGCUGAGAGUUCAGAUGCCCAUGCCAGUUAGAGGGUGGCGUUCAAGGCUGCCACCCCCACCCUGGCGGCUGUGUUUUCCUGCUGUUCUCUGCAAUUCCAUUUAAAUACCUCCCAGAGCCAGCCCAGCAGCAGCCUGCCUGCUUCCGGCACCAUAAAAGGAGAGAGGCUGAGAAUAGCUGAGCCAUGACGCAGCAAGGAGCUUCCCCACGCAGGAAGGCUCUGUGCGCUGAGCCUGCCACCACCCAGGGCCCACCCUGCCCUACACCUGCUCAGCCCCUGCCCUGAAGGAGAGGUGGGGACCAGAGUCCCUGGCUGGAGACUGGUGACAUUGUCCCUGCCAUUGGUGGCUUUGUGACUCUUAAACCAGACCUGCACAAAGAUCUUGUAUCAGGUAUUUGUUUACUUGUACCCUAGAGCUCUGGUUCCAGGAGAAAGCAGAUGGCCCCCCGGGUGGGGGGGCCCUGGGCAGUAGUAGCUCCUCAGUCCUGUAAAUAAAUCCCUAGGAACAGCGUUCAGGCUGAAGGGUUCGAGCUCUGGGCUGGGCGUACACCAGCGCCAAGAUGCAGACAGGUAAGAAUGCUUAGAAUUCCUGUGCCUGACAUUUCUCAUUCUGUCACAAAGGGGAGUGGGGUACCAAUAGGGAUGGAGCACAGUGCCCUGAAAGAGUUCAGAUUCACACAGAGAACCAGGAAGGGCUUCCUAGAGGUGGAGCCUGUGGGUAGAAGGCAAAGAGCACAGGUUGAGCAGGGGAGGCCAGUGCUGUGUCCCCUCCACUCUUUUGGCUCCCUAAUGGCCUUCAAGCGUGGUUACCCUCCUCUGGCUGGUGACUCCUCCGUUUUCUCUCUGGGCGGGGAGGGUGUUGGAUCUGGACCUCUUUCUUUCUCCGAUGUCUCCUCCUACCAGAGGCAGCUCAUCUGAGUUCUCAAGCCUUUGCCCUGGGCUUUGAAACUGACAACCAGCUCCCAGUGAGUGACCUGUGGAGCUGCAGACAUGUGGAGAUCCAAGUUGUCUCCCCACUUCCUGUAGUUCUCUAGCUAAGGCAAGCAGGUCUCUACCAUUGAUGGAUCUCACAGGUACCAGGCACGACUCUCGGUCCCUCGACCCACUGGAAAAGGUUGUGCAUGGGUUCAGGGUCUGCCCCAAACUGCCCAGUUGAGCAACCCCCCC